AAUGAACGUUGGCGGCGUGGAUUAGGCAUGCAAGUCGUGCGGAAAGGCCCUUCGGGGUACUCGAGCGGCGAAAGGGAGAGUAACGCGUGGAUCAUCUACCCUCAGGACCGGGAUAGCCGGGGGAAACCCCGGGUAAUACCGGAUAAUGUCUCUGGACCAAAGGUGUGAGUCCGCCUGGGGAUGAGUCCGCGUCCUACUAGCUAGUUGGUGGGGUAAUGGCUCACCAAGGCAGAGAUGGGUACGGGGUGUGAGAGCACGACCCCGCUCACUGGGACUGAGACACUGCCCAGACACCUACGGGUGGCUGCAGUCGAGAAUCUUCGUCAAUGGGCGCAAGCCUGAACGAGCGACGCCGCGUGCGGGAUGAAGGCCUUCGGGUUGUAAACCGCUGUCAGAGGGGAUGAAAUGCCGGUGGGUUCUCCCAUCGGUUUGACAGAUCCUCAGAGGAAGUACGGGCUAAGUUCGUGCCAGCAGCCGCCGUAACAC
rnacentral:rRNA from 1 species